GAAAUAAUAAAAUAAAGAAUAAGCUUCUAACUUAAGUCUUAAGCGUUGAAAUACGUUUUUAUUUCU
rnacentral:tRNA from 1 species